rnacentral:rRNA from 1 species
UACGUAGGGGGGCAAGCGUUGUCCGGAUUUAUUGGGCGUAAAGAGCGUGUAGGCGGCUUGGUAGGUCCGCUGUGAAAACUCGAGGCUCAACCUCGAGACGCCGGUGGAAACCAUCAGGCUAGCGUCCGGAAGAGGAGAGUGGAAUUCCUGGUGUAGCGGUGAAAUGCGCAGAUAUCAGGAAGAACACCCGUGGCUAAGGCGGCUCUCUAGUACGGUACUGACGCUGAGACGCGAAAGCGUGGGGAGCGAACAGG